GAUUGAGGUCUCUUGCUGCGAGGUUAUCUGCCACUGUUGGCUAUAUUCGGAGUAUACGAUGCUCGAGCGAUUGGCUUCAGGAAGGCAAAUCUGAUUGGCGGAAGCACGCACCAAUCACGAAGAAUUGUCAUUCAACAGUUGGGUUGUUGAAGCCGAACCGGUUGCGUGUAUGAUUGAGUACGAGCGUAACGAGAGAAUUGGUUAUAUUUUCGCGAAUUUGUGAUCGUUUUGAAGUACAGAUCACCAUGACUACCUCGGUCAGCACGAAUCCGUCUACGUUGUUACCACUAGAAUUGGUCGACAAGUGCAUCGGUUCGCGGAUACACAUUAUUAUGAAGAAUGACAAGGAGAUUGUGGGUACCCUGCAAGGUUUCGACGAUUUCGUGAACAUGUUGCUGGAGGACGUGACCGAGAGCGAAGCUACUCCAGAGGGUCGCAGAGUCACGAAGCUGGAUCAGAUUCUCCUGAACGGCAGCAACAUCACCAUGCUGGUACCUGGUGGCGAGAUGCCAGACUCAUAAUACUGAGUUGAAUCUCCAAGCGGCAGAUUUAUCCUGCAUUCUCGCGCGAUUGUGUGGAUAAGGCAUGAACUGAUAAUCUAGCUACCUAUCACAACGAGGGCCUGUCUGCGAUGUUCUGCGACCACGUCGCUCUGAACAACUCCCUGUACCUGCCAUCAAACUCGUCGUCGAGAUCAUCUUUGGGGCGUGUGCCUUUCGCGGAGAGGUAUAUGAUGGUAUGGAUGUGCAAUCC